rnacentral:rRNA from 2 species
UACGGAGGGAGCUAGCGUUGUUCGGAAUUACUGGGCGUAAAGCGCACGUAGGCGGCUAUUCAAGUCGGGGGUGAAAGCCCGGGGCUCAACCCCGGAACUGCCCUCGAAACUAGGUAGCUAGAAUCUUGGAGAGGUCAGUGGAAUUCCGAGUGUAGAGGUGAAAUUCGUAGAUAUUCGGAAGAACACCAGUGGCGAAGGCGACUGACUGGACAAGUAUUGACGCUGAGGUGCGAAAGCGUGGGGAGCAAACAGG